AGUCGUAACAAGGUUUCCGUAGGUGAACCUGCGGAAGGAUCAUUGUCGUGACCCUGACCAAAACAGACCGCGCACGAGUUAUCUAGCCCGCUGGGCGGCGGCAUCGUCCGUCGCUUGGCAAAAGUCCUCGACAACCUCAUCUUUUCGGAGUUGGGGCUCGGGGUAAAAGAACCCACGGCGCCGAAGGCGUCAAGGAACACUGUGCCUAACGAGGGGAUGUGGCUGGCUUGCUAGCCGCACCCCGAGUUGCAAUUCUAUAUAAUCCACACGACUCUCGGCAACGGAUAUCUCGGCUCUC
rnacentral:misc_RNA from 1 species